CAAUAGCGUAUAUUUAAGUUGCUGCAGUUAAAAAGCUCGUAGUUGGAUUUCGGGUGGGAAUGGCCGGUCCGCCGUUUCGGUGUGCACUUGCUACGCCCACCUUGCUGCCGGGGACGUGCUCUUGAGUUCACGCUCGGGACACGGAGUCGGCGAGGUUACUUUGAGUAAAUUAGAGUGUUCAAAGCGGGCCUACGCUCUGAAUACAUUAGCAUGGAAUAACACGAUAGGACUCUGGCCUAUCUUGUUGGUCUGUAGGACCGGAGUAAUGAUUAAGAGGGACAGUCGGGGGCAUUCGUAUUUCAUUGUCAGAGGUGAAAUUCUUGGAUUUAUGAAAGACGAACUACUGCGAAAGCAUUUGCCAAGGAUGUUUUCAUUAA
rnacentral:rRNA from 1 species